UACGUAGGGUGCAAGCGUUGUCCGGAAUUAUUGGGCGUAAAGAGCUCGUAGGCGGCUUGUCGCGUCGGCUGUGAAAACCUGGGGCUCAACCCCGGGCCUGCAGCCGAUACGGGCAAGCUAGAAUUCGGUAGGGGAGACUGGAAUUCCCGGUGUAGUGGUGGAAUGCGUAGAUAUCGUAAGGAAGACCAGUGGCGAAGGCGGGUCUCUGGACAGUUCCUGACGCUGAGGCACGAAGGUCAGGGGAGCAAACGGG
rnacentral:rRNA from 1 species